GAUGAACGCUGGCGGCGUGCCUAAUACAUGCAAGUCGAGCGAACAGACGAGGAGCUUGCUCCUUUGACGUUAGCGGCGGACGGGUGCGUAACACGUGGGUAACCUACCUAUAAGACUGGGAUAACUUCGGGAAACCGGAGCUAAUACCGGAUAAUAUUUCGAACCGCAUGGUUCGAUAGUGAAAGAUGGCUUUGGUAUCACUUAUAGAUGGACCUGCGCCGUAUUCGCUAGUUGGUAAGGUAACGGCUUACCAAGGCAACGAUACGUAGCCGACCUGAGAGGGUGAUCGGCCACACGGGAACUGAGACACGGUCCAGACUCCUACGGGAGGCAGCAGUAGGGAAUCUUCCGCAAUGGGCGAAAGCCUGACGGAGCAACGCCGCGUGAGUGAUGAAGGUCUUCGGAUCGUAAAACUCUGUUAUUAGGGAAGAACAAACGUGUAAGUAACUGUGCACGUCUUGACGGUACCUAAUCAGAAAGCCACGGCUAACUACGUG
rnacentral:rRNA from 1 species